UUGGUACAGCCACUGCCUGCCAACAUGGCGGGCCGACCGACGACCGAAAACAACAACAUUGUCUGUCGGGCCAGCAGAGCAGAAAAUAGGUGCAUAAUCCAAAGUAAUAACUUCUACUGUCAAAUUUAUUUUAAAGCUCCAUUGAAAAGGUACACAGUAGUCCUCAUCCAGCAACUCUCCCUAUGAUUAUCAAAGGGUACGUUAAGAUGAUGUGUAUUGAAGCAUAUCCUGUAGUGUGCUCCAUGUGUGGAUCACCAUUUCCCACCCAUAUCCCGUUAAGUGACAAGCUUGGAUGCAGGCGAGCAAGUUUAACAUUAGAAGUCAAACUGCUGCGAGAAAAGGUUCAGGUUGUCAGAUGGUAAACUCAGACGGCUUCCAAGCAGUGCCAGAAUUAAAAGGUGAUCUGUUGGUCAUGUUCAAACUAUCAUGGAUAGAGACAUGGAGAGAGAGAGAGAAACAGAGAAAGAGAGCCUCAAUUGAGAAUGAAACUCUCGCCUCCUCGUGUAAUGCUGAUGUAUUACUGCCAUUGCAACUGCACUCAUGGCUUCUGUGGGGAAGUCAAUAAAUACAAUCAUGCUGCACAGAAUCCUUAUCCACUUUGCUAGUUUCUGUGUGUGUGCAUGGUGACUUAGUCUGUGAGUACUUCUCUUUAAAAAACAAAACAAAAAAAACGAUUAGGAGUCAAUAUGUUUCUUUUACAACUUUGAGGUCACAUUUUCUUUAUAUGACCUCGAUCCGUAUUUCCUGGAUGAACAGUGGUGAAGGGCAUUCCAAAUUACAUCUGCUUUUGUUUGUAUGGCCCUCUUGGGUGUAACUGGGCGUGGAAAGAAACAAGAUCUUCCAUCCUCUCAUGGUCUCAGAGAUUAAUUGCAGCGAGCUUGUGCAGCCUUGAUCUCCUAGCUGCCUUUAACGGUUCUCUGCUGACAACAGAGUGUGCUUUUUUGGCAUGGAAAUGUGAGACUUUAAACCAUGGCUUACACUGCAUUCCAGUGUAAUGUUUAUUUCAAAAAUGUGGCCCUUAUCUCAUCCACAUUUUUCCUUUUCUAUUUAUGGAGAUCUUCUGGUCUGCUUUGUCAAAAUGUUCAUCCUCUGGUGCUCUACGUCAAACAAGAGGUCGUCUCCCCACUGAACUAGAGGCUGUCAGAGUCCGUUCCCUUUGUGUGUGUCUUGGUGUGCAUGGAGAAUUUUUCAUAGAGGUCUCAGCAGUAUACCCAUUUGCUUUGAGAGCCAUGCAGCCUUUGUGUCAGGCAGAGAACUUCAUGAAGGAAUAUGCCUUAUAUUCUUAUUUUGAUUUGUUACUAAGCAAUGCUCCAUUCAAUGAGACUUUCUGCUUUAAUUUUUCUUCUUGAGAACUUAUGGCUCUAUGAAGACCCAAAUUUGUAUCACAAGGUGAAGAAAUGAGAAUCCAGAACCUGUUUCAAAAAAUGGAUUCAUCUUGUGUCUAUGUUGCGACAAUUUAUCCUCUAAUCUCUUAUCAGCUUCUUAAAAGAAGGUCUAUUUAAUUUCCUAAAUCUUUAUUGUAAUGUAGUGUUCGUAUCUUAUUUGUUGUAAUGCUGACUUUCUCUUCAUGCAAUGUCAAUUACUGUUAUGCCUCUGAUGGUCCUGACCCAGUGGAAUAGAAGAAAAAGGAAAACACCAUUUCAAGACAAGGAAAGCAUCCUGUAUGCUGCACUGGUCGCAGCCAAGGAAUUCCAACUGUAAAGGAUAGAAGCUUCACAACACCAAGAGAACAACUCCACCUCUCACUUUUGAUCCCUUGUUCGAAGACUGGGCUUAUAUGCAUGAGCAGUUUCUUGCUCAUGAUAAAAGUUCCCUUAGCAUUAUUUGGUUGAAUGAAUCGAAGUUGUACUCAAAUGUUUUCUCCCAGUUUAUGCCAUUCCAUGUUCUCACACUCUCUUCAUUAAUCUAAAUUUUCAGGCAAAUACUUUUGCUCGCGUUAUUUUGAUUUUACAAAAUCUUAUUAUACGCGCAUUGUAUUGUAUGUGACACGUUGGAAUGGAUUCACUGGCCAAGAGACUAUUUGAGCAGUAGACGGGAAGAAUGAAUCAUUCUUACUUUUGAAAUGUCUAGUGACAACUUUUGCAAUGACCCUACUCCAUCUUUGUGGCACCUUUUAAUUUGCCUGUUGUCGCCAGUCUUGUAGCAAAUGUUUGAAAAAUGCCAUUUAUUAUUAUUAUAUUCCUAAUUUCCAAAUUUACACAUGACUGUUCAACUGUUUUUUGGCAUACCUGCUGCCUUGCGAAGCACAAGAUCCAUGCCAAGUAAUUGUGCUAGUGCUGUGAGUUAUUUUAUUUAAUAGUUGUCAACUAGAUGUAACACAAUCUCACCCCAGGCCAGAAUUUAAUUUGCUUUUAGUUUCUUAUACUGUUUAAACCAGCAAUGAUGACCCUUUGAUGGCCCUUGGCAGUUCUAAUUUAAUGGUAUGGUGUAUGUGUGUACAUCUUGUAGAAUUGUAUUCUUCACACAUAUCAAUUGUAACUAUUUUAGUAACCAGGGUGUGUUUGGAUUUGUUUCUUUGGAGUACCUAAAUGAUUUCAGCAGUGUAAAAUUUGAAUAUUAAUUAUUGUCAUAUAUCUUGGAUGAAUUUGCUGCUCAAUUUUAUUUUGUGGAUUUGACUUCUAUUCCAUAUUAAAUAAGCAAUCUGCUCUGAAAGUUUGUGGACUUUUCCCUGUCUGGCUAUGAAGUUUCACAGUGGCUUGCUCGCAGAUGUCGGCCUAAGCUUAGUGAGUUUUGGCACAGUUUUGUUAUUGUUUCAAGUCCUUGUAGUCAAGUCCUUUUUUCUUUUUUUUUUUUUUUUGGUGGCUGUUCUUCUAGCAACAUUUAUAUUUGUUAACGAUUUGCUCAAUAGUGCUGUUUUUAACUGUGGGCAUUGACGUCAUCCUUCCUCAGGCUUUAUGUCUAGUUCAAAUUUGUACUCUGACAGCAGAAGGUACGACCAUCAAAUAAAGCAUACUGAAGUAUAAAGUCCCUUUCAUUU